GACGAACGCUGGCGGCGUGCUUAACACAUGCAAGUCGAACGGAAAGGCCCUGCUUUUGUGGGGUGCUCGAGUGGCGAACGGGUGAGUAACACGUGAGUAACCUGCCCUUGACUUUGGGAUAACUUCAGGAAACUGGGGCUAAUACCGGAUAGGAGCUCCUGCUGCAUGGUGGGGGUUGGAAAGUUUCGGCGGUUGGGGAUGGACUCGCGGCUUAUCAGCUUGUUGGUGGGGUAGUGGCUUACCAAGGCUUUGACGGGUAGCCGGCCUGAGAGGGUGACCGGCCACAUUGGGACUGGGAUACGGCCCAGACUCCUACGGGAGGCAGAAGUGAGGAGUAUUGCACAAUGGGCGGAGGCCUAAUGCAGCAACGCCGCGUGCGGGAUGACGGCCUUCGGGUUGUAAACCGCUUUCGCCUGUGACGAGGCGUGAGUGACGGUAAUGGGUAGAGAAGCACCGGCUAACUACGUG
rnacentral:rRNA from 1 species